rnacentral:rRNA from 1 species
CCUACGGGAGGCAGCAGUGGGGAAUAUUGGACAAUGGACCAAGAGUCUGAUCCAGCAAUUCUGUGUGCACGAUGAAGUUUUUCGGAAUGUAAAGUGCUUUCAGUUGGGAAGAAAAAAAUGACGGUACCAACAGAAGAAGUGACGGCUAAAUACGUGCCAGCAGCCGCGGUAAUACGUAUGUCACAAGCGUUAUCCGGAUUUAUUGGGCGUAAAGCGCGUCUAGGUGGUUAUGUAAGUCUGAUGUGAAAAUGCAGGGCUCAACUCUGUAUUGCGUUGGAAACUGUGUAACUAGAGUACUGGAGAGGUAAGCGGAACUACAAGUGUAGAGGUGAAAUUCGUAGAUAUUUGUAGGAAUGCCGAUGGGGAAGCCAGCUUACUGGACAGAUACUGACGCUGAAGCGCGAAAGCGUGGGUAGCAAACAGGAUUAGAUACCCUGGUAGUCCACGCCGUAAACGAUGAUUACUAGGUGUUGGGGGUCGAACCUCAGCGCCCAAGCAAACGCGAUAAGUAAUCCGCCUGGGGAGUACGUACGCAAGUAUGAAACUCAAAGGAAUUGACGG